UAUAUUUUUUCUUUUUUCAUAAGAAUAUGAAUAUAUUUUUAUCUUCUCUGGGUAAUCCAGUGCUGUGUGGUCAUCAAUUAUUAUAUACCAGUUUGUAUCGCUGGUUACACUAGUCUAUUGUAUAACUCUUAUAUAAUGUCAAGUGGUCGAUUUUCUGAUACUUCUCAUUAACCAACAGACAAUUACAGUAUCCAUUGUAAACCCAUGCUUCUGGUUAAGUUUACUCUCCAGUUCUCAGGUAAACUGUGCUGAGGUAGGAGGGGCAGAAAUGCACAGUAUGAUAGGGAAUGAUGAUAACAUAGGGGGGUUACAGCUUGGAUGCAGGUGCAGCCUGAUGGUUUUAGAUGAAGUAGGUCACUUAACUUGUUAAGUCUAUCAUCUAUUUUCUUGUAGCUAUAAUAUAUAUUAGUGUAAGAAAUAUGGAAAGGGCUGUUUGUUAAUAUUUACUUAUGAAUCAACUAUGAUGCCUGAUUUAUAUCUUGGACCAGUUCUCAGAUUUGCUCCUGACAGCAAGAUGCCAUUCCUGAUUACAGCCAAGAAACUGAGAAAAAAAACUCCAAAAAUUUAAUAACUUCUUCAACUCUUUCUAUCCUAACAACUGUAUAGUAACUGAGAAUGGAUAAUUAAGGAACAACCCCACCUCUCACCACACAGAAGUCACCCAGAAGCCCUGGGGCACCACUAAAAUGAACAUGUGGUGGGGAAAUGAAAGGGAAGCCAAAUGGUAUGUGCACAAUGAAGAGAGGUGAAUGUAGAUCAAGGGUCAUACAGAACAGCAUGGUGUGAGUAUCCAGCCUGUAAUACAACCCAAGCUUACGGUUAGGCCCUGGCCCAUGAUUUUACCAUGGGCCAUGUCUGAGUCUGUGGCCCUCCACAGCAGGGGUUUGUUACCACCAAAGGUCAUGUGGAUGUCCCUGGUCUGGGCUGGCCAUAUUAAUGUUCAAAGGCUUCACAGUGUUGGGCCAACACCUCAUCAACUGCAGCACUUGGAAAAGCUGGCCCUACUCAUCCUGGGCAUGGUAGGAGAGAUGGCCCUGAGGGAAAGAGAGCAGGAAAGCUGGCCUUGUCCCUUGCCUGGGCAGUCAAUGACACAGCUAAUACCCAGUCCCAGAUCCAAGGCUUUGAAUUGGCGCUACCUCAACAUCUACCUCAUCUGGGGCUCACGAAGGGUCAGGUCCUGCGUGUCCGAAGUUGCAGUACCUUCGUGACGCAGGGCAACAACAGGAUAUCUAUGAAGAGUUCCAAUGAGGAUACAGCAUUGAAAGUGUGUCAGCAGCCAGAGGGUUGCAUGAGACCAGUGACUCUCUGCAAUGAACAUUUGCAAGAAAGGUGUUUGGGCAAAGAAUUACAUUAUAUGACACGCCGUGAGCCACUGUAGUUUCCAUGAGUCUCACUGUGCACC
rnacentral:sRNA from 1 species